GAUGAACGCUGGCGGCGUGCCUAAUACAUGCAAGUCGAGCGAACAGACGAGGAGCUUGCUCCUUUGACGUUAGCGGCGGACGGGUGAGUAACACGUGGGUAACCUACCUAUAAGACUGGGAUAACUUCGGGAAACCGGAGCUAAUACCGGAUAAUAUUUCGAACCGCAUGGUUCGAUAGUGAAAGAUGGCUUUGCUAUCACUUAUAGAUGGACCUGCGCCGUAUUAGCUAGUUGGUAAGGUAACGGCUUACCAAGGCAACGAUACGUAGCCGACCUGAGAGGGUGAUCGGCCACACUGGAACUGAGACACGGUCCAGACCCCUACGGGAGGCAGCAGUAGGGAAUCUUCCGCAAUGGGCGAAAGCCUGACGGAGCAACGCCGCGUGAGUGAUGAAGGUCUUCGGAUCGUAAAACUCUGUUAUUAGGGAAGAACAAACGUGUAAGUAACUGUGCACGUCUUGACGGUACCUAAUCAGAAAGCCACGGCUAACUACGUG
rnacentral:rRNA from 1 species